AAACAAACAUAUUGCCAUUCAAAUGAAAGAACGGCUAGAAACUAAGUCUUAGCAAAAUAACUUAAAUUAUCCUAGACACAAGCUAUCUAAUUCUAAAUGGAGGACAUCCUAAUUCAUAUGCACUGGAAACAAAAAUAAAUAAAUACUCAAUGUUUAAAUGUCAUAAGCGUCCAAUAAAAUUCACGUAAUCAAAUACUUAGCCAAUGAAAAUAAUAUAAAGCAGGAAUGAAGCAUUUUAAGGAGAAGUCUAAAUCCGGAAACAUGUCAUUAAAAUAAUCAGUGGCAAGAAAUCAUUUUAGAAUGAUAGUAAUUUGUUCAAGUGAGCUUCUUAACAAAGAGUAGACAUGGAAAUUUAAAGUAAAUGGGCAGUCUAGCGAAAAGAAAAUGCGGAUUGAGAUAAGC
rnacentral:lncRNA from 1 species